rnacentral:rRNA from 1 species
AGUUUGAUCCUGGCUCAGGACGAACGCUGGCGGCGUGCCUAAUACAUGCAAGUCGAGCGAACCACUUCGGUGGUUAGCGGCGGACGGGUGAGUAACACGUGGGCAACCUGCCUGUAAGACUGGGAUAACUUCGGGAAACCGGAGCUAAUACCGGAUAAUCCUUUUCCUCUCAUGAGGRAAAGCUGAAAGACGGUUUCGGCUGUCACUUACAGAUGGGCCCGCGGCGCAUUAGCUAGUUGGUGAGGUAACGGCUCACCAAGGCGACGAUGCGUAGCCGACCUGAGAGGGUGAUCGGCCACACUGGGACUGAGACACGGCCCAGACUCCUACGGGAGGCAGCAGUAGGGAAUCUUCCACAAUGGACGAAAGUCUGAUGGAGCAACGCCGCGUGAGCGAUGAAGGCCUUCGG